rnacentral:tRNA from 1 species
AUUUGGUUAGCUCUGAGAGUAUUAUUUUGAAGCAAUAAAGGAAGAUUAUUCUACCAAAUA